UUCAAGUGGACUUGGCACAUCGCUUAAUUUAAUCCNCCUUUUUUUAUUCCAACAAAUUAUAGAUAAAUAAUGAUUUAUUUGAUUUGAAAACAAAAAUGCUUUUUAUUUAUUAUAUUCAAUUGAAUAUAAAAUAUUCAAGCAACAACAAAAAAAAGACUAGGUACAUUCUUUUUAUUUUUCUAUUUGAAUUUUAGUUUCAUUUUCGGAACUAAAAAGAAACUAUCGAUUUUUCCACAAUACAUUUUUUUGUUAUGAUUUUAGUAUUUUUUGUGAUCCGUAGCUAUCAAAACUUCUUCAGCAAAAGAUAAAACUUUAGUUAUUUAAUUUAAAUAAAAUGAACCCUCCUUUGUGAAUCUUAUUAAAUUGUAAAUCCCCCCACGAAAAAUUUCAACACUCUAAUUUUGAUGAUUCUUUGAUGAUCCAACCCUAUCUUGAUCAUGCCAAUUAUCCUGUUCGACAAAAGGUCCAUUUGUGUACAAUAAUCGCAUUGUAGCGGGUAUAGUUUAGUGGUAAAAGUGUGAUUCGUUCUAUUACCCCUUUAAUGGUUAAAGGGUCUUUCAGUCUUAUUCAUAUUCCGAUCAAAAACUUUAUUUCUUAAAAGGAUAUAAUCCUUUACCUCUCAAUGAACAAUUCGAGGAAAAAAAAUUCUCGUGAUUUCUAUCCAUGAAUCACUUAGAAAGUGAAAACUUGGAUCAUGAAAUUGUGAAACAUAAUUUUGGAAUUGGAUCAAGACUUCCAAUUGAAUAAGUAUGUGUAAAGGAUCCAUGGCUGAAGAUAGAAAGUAGAUUAUGUGUAAAGGAUCCAUGGCUGAAGAUAGAAAGUAGAUUAUGUGUAAAGGAUCCAUGGCUGAAGAUAGAAAGUAGAUUUCUAAUCAUAACUAAAUCUUCCAUCUUUGAUUUGUAGAGAAAGAAAUUGAAGCAAAAUAACUAUUAUAUGACGACUUUGGUUUACUAGAGACAUCGACAUAUUGUUUUAGCUCGGUGGAAAAAAAUCAUUUUCCUUAAGAUCCUCUCAAAUAGAAAUAGAGAACGAAG
rnacentral:lncRNA from 1 species